UACGGAAGGCAGCAGUGGGGAAUAUUGCACAAUGGGCGAAAGCCUGAUGCAGCUAUGCCGCGUGUAUGAAGAAGGCCUUAGGGUUGUAAAGUACUUUCAUCGGGGAGGAAAAAACAAAACUAAUAAUUUUAUUUCUUGACGUUACCCGAAAAAGAAGCACCGGCUAACUCCGUGCCAGCAGCCGCGGUAAUACGGAGGGUGCUAGCGUUAAUCAGAAUUACUGGGCGUAAAGAGCACGUAGGUGGUUUUUUUAAGUCAGAUGUGAAAUCCCUGGGCUUAACCUGGAACUGCAUUUUGAAACUGAAAUACUAGAGUAUCGUAGAGGGAGGUAGAAUUCUAGGUGUAGCGGUGAAAUGCGUAGAUAUCUGGAGGAAUACCUGUGGCGAAAGCGGCCUCCUAAACGAAUACUGACACUGAGGUGCGAAAAGCGUGGGGAGCAAACAGGGAUUAGAUACC
rnacentral:rRNA from 1 species